ACUGAAUCCCUCUCUUAAUCCGGCUAUAUGCAAAAGAUCUCUGAAUCAUUCUCUCUACCUGACUGUGUCUAUGCAAGAGAACAAGAUAGUAAUCUUUUGUUUUCCGGUUUUGUUAACUGUUGAAUGGGGAUUUCAACUCUUAUGAUCCAUUGAAGGAUUCAUAACAUGGGUUGAAACAGAAAGCUGCAUCUUCUGAAGGACUAAUAGGGGGGAUUGUUUCACAGACGUCAAUAUCAACUUCCAUAAGUCCCGGAAAUCCAUUGCUAGGGCCGUUGAAUUGCCAUGACCAGUCCAACCAAGAAGAUGGAGCUACCACAAAAUGGCCUUAUAUGAUUAUCCGGGGAAGGUUGCUAACUUUGCGACUUAUGCAUUUGGCCCAGCUAUUCUGGUCACUCCUCAUGCUGCACUCAGCAUUGUUAUCAG